AUUAUUGCAGCAUGCAGGCCGUGCCACAGAGCAUCAGUCUGAAUGCUCCAGCACGGCCUGCAUAAGCACAAACAAUAAGCAUAUGUCCCCUUAUCAUUAAAUACCGUGUUAAAUUACAGGAAUAAAUUGGCCAAAUAUGUAGAGACCUCUGCAGCGAAGAACGGAACUGCGCGCGUCCUUGUCGCAUGAUGCACGCCGAAGCCUCCGCAUCAUCUCCUCUUCUUCUACCGUCUUCUCUCCAAAUGCUUUGAUGCCGAAGCCUCCGCAUCCUCUCCUCGUCUUCUAUCGUCUUCUCUCCAAAUGCUUUGAUGCCGAAGCCUCCGCAUCAACUCCUCUUCUUCUAUCGUCUCCUCUCCAAAUGCUUUGAUGCCGAAGCCUCCGCAUCAACUCCUCUUCUUCUAUCGUCUCCUCUCCAAAUGCUUUUUAAUGCAGAAACCAAGACAUAUUAUAUUGUCGAUGGGGCACCGUCAUCACCUCGCUCCCCGGAGGGUGAAAAGAUCUUGGUUAUUUGUUUUCUAUGUUUGAGGCAGAUUUGUUAAAUGAAAUCGAAGUGUUUGGAUUCAUCCUCCCGGAGAGCGCGGACGGGCGGGUGGUGGAUUACGCUCCGGCUUCAAGCGUCUGUCGCGGGGUGACGUCACCAUGCAGACAGCACUCUGGACAGCGCAUCAAGAGAGCAGCACCAAGGGCAGGGGCACCCACGAGCAAGAGGUCAGGUGACCAAAAGGGGAAACACCCCGCCCCCUCAGGAGACAACGAGCGGCCAAGGUGCAGCUCGUAAGGCUGAUGAAGGAAGGAGACUGAAGGCCGAACGAACCAGCUGAACCGCACCCUCAAAAGAGGAAGAACCUAAUUUUCCCUUUUUUUGUUACUUUGUACGUUGCAAUAAAUUGUACCCUUUUCGUGUGCAACUAGACGUGUAUCCGGUGAUUCCACCCACACCCGUUGGAUGCCAGAGUUUUCUUAACACACAGCAAACUGAAAUACCAUUCACCUGCAAGGUGCACCUGUGAAAAUAUCUUAAAUCUUAAAAUUUACACAGUAAAUAGGAUAUGACGUUACUAUGUAAAGGUCACCUUUAAAGAAAAAAAGGAAAAAAGUGUAGAAUAGUAUUUUAUAUUUACAGUAAAAUAAAGAAACACUGUUCAUGUCAUCUUUGAAUAAAGUCUGAAACAGUUUGGAGUAUAUUGAGUGUUGAGAAUACACAUUGCAUUUGUGCUUUUAGUUUGUGGAACGAGGUGUUUAUUUGGGUUUGUGUGUAAAGGUGUGAUAUAAAAAUACCGUUGAUCAUUUAAUUUUUAAUAUUUUGUGUACAUGUUGAUAUUUGUGGGUGGCUAUUUUCAACAAAGACCGGCAUAGUUUGAGAAAUGUUUUAGCAAGAGCAAGAAAACUGUUUCCAUCAUAUGUUUCCUCCAAACUUCAAGAGCUUGUACACUAUUUGGGGAUCUUGAUGAGUUAAGUAAACACUCAGCAGUACUCUCCAUUUCACGUCAAACUGCUUGAAUUCAUUUUUACUUAACAUGAGAUUAACAAAACAUAUAUGAAGCUUAGGCCUGAGGUGGGAGGCCUCAAGCUCCUGCUUGAUGCUCAGCAAACAAAAGCUGCAACAACCCAUAGUUGACUGUUGUACUUGUUGAUCAACCCCUCACUUCUCUCUCUCUCUCUCUCUCUCUCUCUCUCAUUUUUACAAAACUUCCAGUAAUGUGCCUUUUUUGUAUCGGGUGUUUAUUAAUUCAACUAUGUUAGUUAGUAUUGUAUCUGUGUCAUUUGAGUGGACUGUGCUACUGCCUCUUGGCCAGCUCAUCAUUGUAAAUGAGAAUUGGUUCUCAAUUGAUUUUACCUGGUUAAAUAAAGGUUAAAAAAGCAAUGUUUUUCCUGAGGUAGCUGGAGAAAUUCAAGGACAAGGGCAGCGUGUCAUUCGCUCUGCAGAGGGUGAUCGGCUGCAAUCCGCCGUCCCGUUUGCCUCCAGGACUCUAAGGCAGGCAAAAAGGGUUGUAGGCAACCCCUCACACCCAAGAUCCAAGACCAAGACAUCCCGCCACACAAACAGUUCCUGCCCCUCAUCGGUUAGGCUCAUGACCCCAACUGACCUACAUUACAUCCCCAGGACAUUUGCACUGUGGUUUCUCAUGAAAAUAUGGAAAUAUAUGUCCAUACAUUUGUGUUUUACCGUACUUAUCAUAUUUUUUCUCAAUAUUGGUAAUUUUUGCUUGUAUAUUUUCAUCGUAUUUUACUUUAUCUUAAUUUAUUCCGUUUCAUUCUUAUAUCGCACCAAAUCCCUCAUACGUGGCAAUAAAUUCUUCUUUGUGGCUCCUGAUUCUUA